AUGCCUCCUCACAGUGGGCCUUUCUGGCUUAGACCUCAUGCAAAUCAUCUGAUUGAUUGGUUGCCGUGUGCCGGAAGAUAUUCCGCAAACUCAGCAGCAUUUUACAGCAUCUGGCAAGGAAGCCAAGGAGAAGGAGUUGUGGCCAGCAUUUUGACAACUGCUGAGGAUUGGCUGGCCCCUGCUGGAUGAAGGGACCAAUAGUGUGGAAAGGGAGCAGUGAGGCAGCCAACCAGAUCUCCCAUGGAAGGGAAGAUUCACAGUCUGGG